AGAAAUCGUGUGACUGCUGGAGCCUGGGAGUUAUACUAUAUGUUUGCAGGCAAAUAACCCAUUGGAGAAACAAGUCAAAGAAGGGUCGUAUAAAUUUCCGAACAACCUCUGGAAGAAUGUUAGCAGUGAAGCUAAGGAUCUUAUAACAAAACUGCUUACUGUUGGUCACAGAAAAUGCAUCACGGUUUCAGAAGCUCUGGAACAUCCUUGGAUGAAGGAUAAAGAAAUGAUAGAAAAAGCAGAAAAAAUGAUAAAACCGACCGUGGAUGGAAGAUCAAUGUCUCCGCCCUUAUAAAAGGUAUGUUGAAAACUACGAUACUUGUCCCGUUCUUCCGUCCAAUGACCCUUAUUUUCAACUCGCAAUUGCAAUGAAACAUUACAUGUUUGCAAGUUACAUCGAAAUUUAACCAGCUUUCCGAAACAAUCUCAAGGCGC